GCUAGAAAGCUGAGUCACCUUUGACACCUCCCUCUCUUUCACCUCCAUAUUGACCCACUAUGGAGUCCUGGCAUUUGCCUCCUGAAUAGCUUCUAAUCUUCUGCCUGGUCACGUCUACCACCACCACAUGACCUAAGCCACCACAGUGUCUUGUCUGGACUGUUGUAUUUCCUAACAAAUAUUCCUGCAUCCACUCUUACUCCUAUCAAUCCCCAACUCCAAACUCGUUGCCAGACUGCAGCCAGUCCCAGU
rnacentral:lncRNA from 1 species